rnacentral:rRNA from 1 species
GAUGAACGCUGGCGGCGUGCCUAAUACAUGCAAGUCGAGCGAACAGAUGAGGAGCUUGCUCCUCUGACGUUAGCGGCGGACGGGUGAGUAACACGUGGAUAACCUACCUAUAAGACUGGGAUAACUUCGGGAAACCGGAGCUAAUACCGGAUAAUAUAUUGAACCGCAUGGUUCAAUAGUGAAAGACGGUUUUGCUGUCACUUAUAGAUGGAUCCGCGCCGCAUUAGCUAGUUGGUAAGGUAACGGCUUACCAAGGCAACGAUGCGUAGCCGACCUGAGAGGGUGAUCGGCCACACUGGAACUGAGACACGGUCCAGACUCCUACGGGAGGCAGCAGUAGGGAAUCUUCCGCAAAGGGCGAAAGCCUGACGGAGCAACGCCGCGUGAGUGAUGAAGGUCUUCGGAUCGUAAAACUCUGUUAUUAGGGAAGAACAGAUGUGUAAGUAACUAUGCACGUCUUGACGGUACCUAAUCAGAAAGCCACGGCUAACUACGUG